rnacentral:lncRNA from 1 species
GCCGAGGCUGCAGAAAGCAGCACGCUCACUUUUCCCUUGAACGCCUUUCCAGCCCCACAGUGAGCUCUUUUCCUUAGCUGUUACUUCUGGACACUACCACAACAGCUUUCCCAACGGAAGGGGUGAGCUGCUGCUGCCAGGCGUGUGCACUGUACCAGUAGGGAGGCUGUGGAGCAUCCCGGACCUGCAGCUCCUCGGCCAGGCACCUGUGCCAGCUCGCCCCUGCCGCAGCAGGGAUCCUGUUAUCCCCCCUGGGACUCUGCCUGGACCAGGGAUCCUGACAUCUGCAUGUGGCUCUGCAGCCACGGGAGACUGUUUCCCCCUCUUUCGGCACGCAGGCAGUGAUUGCUGCCUAACCCUGUGGCUCAGGGCUUUGAGAAGAUGAUCACAUACAGCCGUAAGUGCAUCACACCAGGAGGUGUCUGUGACUGGGGGCAGCUGGUUGGGGGUGCCCUGUCACCCUGGGGUCCUACCCUCUCUGCGGAUGCUCUCACACUGCACAGGGCCAUA